rnacentral:rRNA from 1 species
AUGAAGAAGAUGCUAUCAGAAGAAUUCAAAUUCAAAUUCAGAAGCCUUCAUGCUUUCGUCCUUGGGACCGUUUUUGCGUUUGAAAUUGCCAUUUGUGGCACCACCCUGCCUGGCGCGCGGCCAUGUGCCGCGCAGCCAGCCGUAUUCAUAUUCGAUCAUUCCGUGUUUCUGACACACACCAGCUCAUUCAUCUUCUUUCCGGGAAAGAAGAAAGGACGAAUGACAAGCGGAAAAAUCGCACCACUUCCGGAUUUUUUCAAAAAUUGCAACAAGUUUGGACUUCUUCCUUGUACAAGCCAGAAGGUCCCCAGUCCAUUUUUGGGGCUCAUUUGUUGUUUUUUUCAAAAAUUGAAAGUUCCCAGCCCAUUUGGUCAAGUUGUUCGUCUCAAUGAUAGAAGGGGAAAUUUCCUUCCGGCCGACGACGUCACGGCGGCUGGGCUACUGUGCCCUGAUAUGGAUAGAAAUUGA